GCAUAAUAUGAUGUUUGAAACGCCGCUUUUCUUAUUUUAUCGUUUCACGCUCUCUCUUCUCCGCAGUAAGAAAUUCUAAAGUUUCUAUCCAUUCACUGAUCCAUCAAUCAAUCUGCGCAGUAGCGAAUCUAGAGUUUGGAGCAAUUUAUUCAUCUUUUUCCUACUGAUCCAAUCUAGAAAUCAAUCAGUGGAGGUUCCACUAUAAUAAGGCUGAAGAAGCUACACACGAGUAAAGGAUGAGGAGUGCUAGGCAGAUGAGUGGAAGUUGAAAGAAGAAGAAAAAGCUCAACAAGCCUAAAAAGAAGAUACAGCUGCCUUAGAGUUUGAAUAACCAAACACUUUUCCAUUCUAACCGUCAUUCUGCCAAACAUAAACAAACUUCACGGUGAAGGAUGGAUACAAUACAAGUAUUAUGGACAUCAACAGCAGUUUGCAGAGGGACGGUGUCUUAGUACAUCUUCAUCAUAAAGAAGGUAUGCAGUUUCAGAUGGGAGAGCUCGGGAGAGGUCAUUUUGGUUGCACUUGCUCUGCUAGCCUAAGUUCAAGAAAGAGAGCUCAAGGGUCAGGAGGUUGCUGUUAAAGUCACCCCAAAACCAGAGGUUUGUUUUGCUGGCGAGUGAUGGUCGUAUAACAUGAGAAUAGCUAUUUCUGAGUCCAAGGAAAAAGAAGCCAUAAGAUAAAUAGCGGAGCUACCGAAGCAGCCGCAGAAAGCAACACAAAGGCUGAUGAAGAAAAAAUUUUCACUGUCACAGUGCAAAAUCAUUCACUGAAGAGCUUCGAAAGUCUCAAGAAGAAGCAGAGCAAGCAAAGGCUGGGGCAAGUACAAUGGAGACCAUUUUAUUUGCAACUUAGGAAUAAACUAAGGCUGCUAAGGGUUCAGAGAGGUUGGCAUUAGCCGCCGUCUGCUUAGCUAGCGUGCUCAUGAUGCUGAAGAAGAAGCCAAUACAAUGGUUGCAACAGUUGUUCUGAGAUCGAGGAAGCUAGAGAAAUAGACAAGGUAACUUGGAGAGGAAGAAGCAAAAAACACUUGCAGAAGAAAUUGAGAAAGCUAAAGAAGAAGAGUUAGGCGUAGAACAAGAGUUGAGAAAAUGGAAAGGAGAAUUUAUGGAAGAAGAAUAGAAGGGUCAAAGGCGAAGAAACUGAGUCUAGGAACUGAACAAACCCAAUCUCACAAGGAAAUCCUAGAAAAAGGUCACGUAAGUGAGUCUGAUGUGAAGAAGUUGAUUAUGUAAGAUCUGUUUUAUAAAUGUAUAAAUCUACGUUAUAAUAGAAGAGUUAAGUCAUCUCGGUUUCUGAAUUUUAGUUACCAGCAGUAACUUACUUUAUUAGUAACAUUUUAUUUCAAUGGCUGAUGUAAUAGAACCGGGAAUAUUAAGGCAACAGUUACCAAAA